GCGAAACCGGAGCCAGCAGCCGGGGGAAGACGGGGGGGGCAAGCGUUAAUCGGAAUUACUGGGCGUAAAGGGCACGAAGGCGGUUGGAUAAGUCAGAUGGGAAAGCCCCGGGCUCAACCUGGGAACUGCAUUUGAAACUGGCCGGCUAGAGUCUUGUAGAGGGGGGUAGAAUUCCAGGUGUAGCGGUGAAAUGCGUAGAGAUCUGGAGGAAUACCGGUGGCGAAGGCGGCCCCCUGGACAAAGACUGACGCUCAGGUGCGAAAGCGUGGGGAGCAAACAGGAUUAGAUACCCUAGUAGUC
rnacentral:rRNA from 1 species